AUUGAACGCUGGCGGCGUGCCUAACACAUGCAAGUCGAGCGGUAACAGGUGUAGCAAUACAUGCUGACGAGCGGCGGACGGGUGAGUAACGCUUGGGAAUCUGCCUGUUAGUGGGGGACAACCCGGGGAAACUCGGGCUAAUACCGCAUACGCACUACGGUGGAAAGCCGGGGACCGCAAGGCCUGGCGCUAACAGAUGAGCCCAAGUCGGAUUAGCUAGUUGGUAGGGUAACGGCCACCAAGGCGACGAUCCGUAACUGGUCUGAGAGGACGACCAGUCACACCGGAACUGAGACACGGUCCGGACUCCUACGGGAGGCAGCAGUGGGGAAUAUUGGACAAUGGGCGAAAGCCUGAUCCAGCGACGCCGCGUGGGUGAAGAAGGCCUGCGGUUGUAAGCCCUUUCGGUGGGGAAGAAAGCCUCGAGCUAACAUCUCGGGGUCUUGACGUACCCAUAGAAGAAGCACCGGCUAACUCUGUGCCAGCCGCCGCCGUAAG
rnacentral:rRNA from 1 species